rnacentral:rRNA from 1 species
UACGGAGGGUGCGAGCGUUGUCCAGAUUUAUUGGGUUUAAAGGGUGCGUAGGUGGCUUUAUAAGUCAGUGGUGAAAUACAGCCGCUCAACGGUUGAGGUGCCAUUGAUACUGUAGAGCUUGAAACAAGUGGAGGCUGCCGGAAUGGAUGGUGUAGCGGUGAAAUGCAUAGAUAUCAUCCAGAACACCGAUUGCGAAGGCAGGUGGCUACGUUUGAUUUGACACUGAGGCACGAAAGCAUGGGGAGCAAACAGG